rnacentral:lncRNA from 1 species
GCAGGUGGCUGGCCGGCUCCAUCUCCAUAGAUCCCCCCGACUCCUCCAUCUCAUCUUUCCCAAGCAUGCAGCAAACCACCAGUUUGUACGUGCGACGGCGAGGUGGAGCACGACGAUGCAGCAUGCGGCGGCGCGCACGACCAGGAGUAUGGCGGCGCAGAGGCACAACAAGGCGGGCGCAGACCACGACGAGGAGUAGGGCCACGUCGUGGAGGCGAUGACCAUGCCAAGCAGCCAACCGUCAGGGUAAGUUUUUUUGUUCCUGCUCGUGUACAUCUUGUGCUUGUGCGUGGAUGUGCAUGACGUACUUGUUCAUGAGUUUGUACUGGUAAUUAGAGUAGAGAACAAGAGAUCUGUAGUGGUCAAUUUCUAUUUUUUAGUUCGUGGCAAGAGAAAAAACAGAUUUUACUGCAUUACCGAUCUGUAGUGGUCAAUUUCAGUCAGGUUAGACUAUAAAUCUGUAAGUGAAAUCUGACUACAAAUCAAAGAACAAGAGAAUAUGAUAUUUCUAGUGGUCAAUUCAAGUCAGAUUCCACUUCUGUACACAUGACCUGAUCUACGGAUAUGCAUGUUAAUUAGUACAAUAAUUUGUUUCUACAAAAUCUGUCAGUUUAUUUCUAAAUUUCUAUCAAGUGGAUUGUGAAUGAUUAGUAUAAAGUUAGAGUCUGACUGUUUAAGAUUCGGUCCAUGUCAUGUGCUCAACUUCGUCCAUGUCAUCUGCUGAAUAGAAGAGCUCACAGUCUGUCGCUUUAGUUAUUAGUUUUUUUGGUUGUAAAAAUUGCAAUUUAGGUAUCAAAAUUGUACAGUUCAGACAAGAUAUUUGUUUCAAUUAAAGCUUGUGCUCAACUUCGUCCAUAUCAUGUACUGAAGAAAGGAUCUCACAGUUCCUUCAUCACUUAAAUCUUGCAUCAGGGGAUAGCAACUCCACUCUCUUUGCGACAUUUCAAAGUGUUCUUGAUGAUGAUGAAGAAACUAUGGUAACAUAUUCCACUCAUUAUAGUUGAUUUUACAUGGUACAAUAUUUGGUUCUUUAUUUCCAUGAUUUUAAUUAUUGUUCUUAUGAUAUGUUUACAUGAAGGAUGAGUCCGAGUCUAUCAUAACUGAAGCUUAGUCGGUCAUGCGGUGAAGAAAGAAGAUGAUGCCUAGAAGAAUACCUUCCUUCACUUAUAAUGAGAAUUGUGAUGUACUUAUGUCUCCUGGCUGUAGGAAACUAAGGCUGAUAAAUUCUGUUGGGCUAUUUCUAUGCUAUUUUGUAAGAAAUUAAGACUAAGAAAUUAUGUUGGGCUAUUCCUAUGUCAUUCUGUGAGGAACUAAGGCUGAGAUUUUUCUACUUAUGCUUAUUUGAUGUUCUGAUAUGUCAUUCUAUGAGAAUCUGAACGCUUAUUUCAUCUGGUGCCCUUCUCAUAUGUCAUUUUGUGAGAAUUUGAGUCUGUAUGUGAGUGGUGUGCCAUGUUAUGUGAUUUUCAAGGUAUUAUGUAUACGUGUUUUGAUAGG